UCUUCUGAGAAAUGGAUUUCAGUGCAGAAUUCUGCUGGAGUAGCACUAUUAACUGGUGCCUUUUGAAAAAAACAUGUUUUCCGAUGACAGGAUCCCUUUAAUAUUACCCCUUCACAAGUGUAAUGUGCUGAAAUAUCGGUGAAUAGCUAAAAUGGUUCCAGCAAUUGGAAAACACUGCUGUAAAUAUAUAAUUAAACAAAGCUAGGGCAGCAUACAGUUGCCCACAUAAAAUUUCAGCACUCCAUUGUAAUAUGUAAUAACGCUGGCGACUUAAUGCCAUAAAGCAAUGACAUAUGUGAAUUUGAUGCAUUUGAAUUUGAUUUAUAAUGGUAUUUGCCAGCAGACAAUAUAAUGGCAAAUUUUUAUCUUGGACAAAAGAGGACAUUUCACAUUUUAGUAAAUAUGCUCCACAGUCUGUAAUGGUAACUUUUACCCCAGCACAGCUUCUGUAACUGUAUUAGGACACACACCAACCCGUUUGUACUAGAAAGUAGUUGGAACAAACUUUUCAACAUUUUUCUGAAAUAUUUUACUUUGUGCUUCCCAAACCAAAAACACUUUUUCACGACUUCAUUCUUCUUAUGUGUUAUAGUUCAUACUUUAAAGUCACAUUUACACACAACAAAAGGAUAUUUUGUAUUGAUCAACUUUUAUCUGCCUCUUAGGUUGGAAUUAUUUGUGUUAAAUUGGAAGUUAAAUCAAGUUAAGGGGUUAAGGGUCGAAUUUUUUUUAUGGUUAAAACUUUGAAAUUCAAAUUGUGAAGAAUUUUGAGAUUUAUAACACUCUGGCCCUUAAGAACUUGAAUUCGACUAUUUGCCACCUAAAACCUGCCGAGUUCACGAAUAAGUCAAUGGGAGAGGUACAGGGACCAAUUUGGACAUUAGUAGUCUUCCUGACUCUCGAGUUUUUUUCACAGAAAAACGCUAAUAUUCGGGAAUAUUCGUCUGAGUUUUAGAUAUUCGUUUUUUUUUUAUAAAUAACCCCCCCAGUCGAAUUUUAAGUAUAUUCGAAUUUAAUAGAGUUUUAAAAAAUGAAUUCAAAAUUUUACCUUUAUUAAAUGUGCCUCUAAAUGUUAUUUUAUUCCAUCAUCAAAUACUAUCCCUUUAACUCAUCUUUCUGCCAGAGCUAGGGGUAAGCAGCAAAAGGGGGUCUUUGGGUGCAGUUGUUUAUUGCAUUGUAUUGAAGUUUGAUUGUCCUAAUCCAGUGAACAUCAGCUCCUUGUGUCUCCUUUACCUUUCUGUGUAAGUAAGCGCUAUAUCAUACGGGAUGUUUUAUUGUAGAAAACAGUGGUAUGCAAAACAUACCCUCCUAUCACCACUCUUAUAGAAAUGCAUGAAAAGCUCCAUAUUGGAUGCACGUGUGUGGCAAAGACCUCAAGAAAUUGUUUUUGGGUUUAGGUCUGCCUGUCACAGGUGUGUUAACAGGGAGCUGUCACCCUAAGAAAUUAUUCCAAAUCCUUUUCUAUCAUGUCAGUUGAGCAAAAUAAAUUAUCUACAUACUGUUUCCAUUAGUCUUGGAAUUCACAAUCACAGUAAGAAGGCAGGUGUCAUUUUGUGGACACAGAAAGGGGGACCAAUGCCCAUGCCCAGGUUAAACAAUUAUAGAGUAUAUGAAAGGAGGGGAAAUUCGUAGUGAUAACAAGGAAAUGCUAGCAGAAGAGUGCCAUGAUAUUUGGGAAAUGCUAAAUGGAAAGUAAUUGCUCUCCUGCCUCUAUGCCAAAGGCUUUAGUUCUGGGGCAAGCAAUAUAUGAUUGACAGCUCAGAUAUUUAAAUACAUUUAUAACAGGUAUGGGUGUUUUAAUACAAUAAAGUUUGUGUCUCAUGUUAAUUUGCAAAGGACUUGUAUUAUAAUUGUAUUAUACAGCUUUUUAUGUGUGGGUGACAGGUCCCCUUUAAGUACAUUGUUUUUCAUUCUUUUCCAGCAGGAAUGGUGACAGGUGGACAGGGACUUUUUCACUGCUGCUGUAGGACAUCAGAGGAAAAAUUCAUGUUCCCCAAGGCCCUAAACCUGUGUCUGCUAUAAAACAAUAAUGAUGUGAUAGCACCAUGGUGAAGAACACAUUGUCAUCCUCACUCUGGGUGCCAAAGCUCCUUGGCCCACUUCUAAAUGUGACUUUAUUAACACAGUAACAUUAAGUAAAAAACACAAAAAAAAAACCUUAUACAGACUUCAGAUUGUUGUGUGGCAUUUAGCCAGUGAGGCCUUUUCUUUUUGUGCCUUGUUCUCCAGAAUAAGUCUUUUGCUGAAAAAUGCAUCAGGGUGUACUACUAACAGUCACACCACCAUCUUCAGUUGCUUCCCAAUGGCCCAUUCUGGAAGGUUCUAUGCUACAUUUGUCUUACUGACUUUCCCUUUUUAAAAAAAAAAGAAAACAUGAAGUCUGAAGGUCAUAAAAGGAAAAAUCAUCCAUGCACUCAGGGAUUGUAGUUAGUUUCCAGCAGUUUAUGGAUUAAGAGAGAACUGUACCUUAAUUGUGCCUUAGUUAAAUAUACAUACAUUGCAAUCCCUCUUUAUACCUGUGAAUAAUGUGUUGAGUUUAAUUCUUAAAGGUGUGUGUCACUGUGACUAUUCACUAAGUAGAACAGAACUAAAGACGGAUAAUGUUACAUACACUGUUUUUUUCCCACAGUCGGCACCAGUUUGCUUUGUGCUGGAAAAUGCAACUUUCCUUUAUCAUAGGUCUGUCCAGUGGACAACACGUAAAAAAUAGUCCACAAUAUCAGACUGCUAGAGUUGCAACAGCAUGCACUAAUGUGCUCACCCUCACACAAUUUCACAUUGAAAAGGGUCUGAAAGCAAGUCUCUGUGAUUUGAAAUGGAGCUCAGAGGCCUGCAGCCAUUCAGCAAUAGCAGAACACUAUGGAAAGUGCAAAAAUGUGACCAAAUGGCAUCUUUUUAUGUAGUUUGGAACUGCGUUCUGCAACGUAAAUGACCCCUUAUAUGUAUUGAAAUUCUUUUUAAAUAUAUCUAAAUUUCAAGUAGGUAUGCACCAAAUCCAGGAUUCGGUUUGUUAUUCUGCCUUUUUCAGCAGGAUUUGGCCGAAUCAACCGUUCGUGGAUUCGGUACUUCCAAGUGUAUGAAUUAAAAUGGCCAUGAACAGACACUAGUAAAAGCAGGUGAUUUUAGGUUGAUUGGUGAAGAAAACCUCUCUCUCUAUUAUACUUUCCGCAACCUGAGAGCCAAACUGCACAGCCAAAAUAGACUUUAUUUCUGCUGGUGCCUGACACUUGAUGAGAUGGUUUUCCACUAGUUAGAGAAUGGCAAAGGCAACAUACAGUAGUGUAUGUUACAAUCGCUCAGCUCCUAAGUGAUUUGUUCAUUUUUCUGAUGCAUAUUUUUUUUUUUAGUAAAUUUAUGGCGACAUGAAAAAAAUAUUUACAUUUUACAAAAGUGUAUAUAUGUAUAUGUUUUAUUUUUAUAGGACUACAGGGACACGUAACAUAAUAUUUAUAUACUGUACAUAAACUAUAGACUUUGAGUUUAGAAGAUUGUAAAAAGCUUGAUGGAAAAGAUGGCACAAAAAUAUUAAUUUACAAAUACUUAUGUGGGCCACACAUUGAUCAGUUUUCAGGCCAACGUCUGUUUUGAACUACACUUGAGGACACUGGGAAUAGUACUUCUCUAGUUUAGUUGUCUGGCAUCACUUAGCUCUGGAAAGUAUUUUUAUGGUGCUCCAUCUGUCAUUAUAAUGGGUUGAAAACAAGUGUAUUUUAAAGACACGGAUCAUUGUAGCCUCACCCAAUAGGAAGUCCAAUGUCUCUUUGUAAAAGUUUACAUUGACAUAGUUUUAUGAUUACAAUAGUGGCCAUACAAGUCAGAGUGAAUCCCGCUUAGACAGCCAGUUUCAUCACCCUCAUCUACUCAUUUUGUUUUCCUUUGGUUUGAAGAUACCUCUGGGAUUUUAUAGGGCAUAUUUUGUUGCAUAUUCAUUGUAUUUGUUUCCCCUUUGUACCAAAUUGAACAAUGAUCUGCCAUUAGAGUCAUCCCUGGUUAACCACAUGACUCACUUUCUGGCUGCCAGAUAGAAGUAGAGGGCAUUGGUCAUUUCUCUGUUUUAGAUUCAUCUCUCCGGAAGAGGACACACAAGGAAGGAAGAAGUAGAUGACGUGUGUGUGCUGUCUGUGAGUGUUUCUUUGGCAGUGUCUUAGCUGGUUGUUGUGAGACGUUAUAGAAUAGCAAUCAGCAAAUAUACUGCCCUAGAAGUUCUACACAUUGUGUGGCCCACAAAAUCCCAGAUGUGGACUUCAAGACAAACAAAACAUACCAGCAAGAAGGCUUUUCUACACCAGAGCUGCUGUGCACAAUUUUAUGUUUAUUUUGAUCUGUAAAUUAAAUCUGCCUUGAGUCAAUAAAAUCUUCCACAUCUA